AGAGUUUGAUCCUGGCUCAGAUUGAACGCUGGCGACAUGCUUUACACAUGCAAGUCGAACGGUAACAGGGAGCUUGCUCCGCUGACGAGUGGCGAACGGGUGAGUAAUGCAUCGGAACGUACCGUGUAGUGGGGGAUAACGUAGCGAAAGUUACGCUAAUACCGCAUACGCCCUGAGGGGGAAAGUGGGGGACCGCAAGGCCUCACGCUAUAUGAGCGGCCGAUGUCGGAUUAGCUAGUUGGUAGGGUAAAGGCCUACCAAGGCGACGAUCCGUAGCGGGUCUGAGAGGAUGAUCAGCCACACUGGAACUGAAACACGGUCCAGACUCCUACGGGAGGCAGCAGUGAGGAAUUUUGCGCAAUGGGGGAAACCCUGACGCAGCAACGCCGCGUGAGUGAAGAAGGCUUUCGGGUCGUAAAGCUCUGUCAAGAGGGAAGAAUGUAGGAGAUGGUAAUACUAUUUUCUAUUGACGGUACCUCUGAAGGAAGCACCGGCUAACUCCGUGCCAGCAGCC
rnacentral:rRNA from 1 species